AGACCAGUAUGAAUGGCAAGACGAAAGUUCAACUGUCUCCCUAAAUUAAUCAAUGAAAUUGAUUUUUCCGUGCAGAAGCGGAAAUAUAAUUAUAAGACGAGAAGACCCUAUGGAGCUUUAAACAUAUGAUCAUUGCGUAACAUAGCCCAAAAUGAAAUAUUUAAUAAAACAUCAUGAUCAAAAUUUUAGGUUGGGGCGACCACGGAGAAAAACAAAACCUCCGAGAUGAAGAGAAUAUCUUAAUUCAAGAAUUACAAUUCUAAAAAAUAAAAUAUUUAACAUAAUUGAUCCAAUAUAUUGAUCAACGAACCAAGUUACCCUAGGGAUAACAGCGCAAUCCUCUCCAAGAGUCCCUAUCGACGAGCGGGUUUACGACCUCGAUGUUGGAUCAGGACACCCCAAUGGUGCAGCCGCUAUUAAAGGUUCGUUUGUUCAACGAUUAAAGUCCUACGUGAUC
rnacentral:rRNA from 1 species